AUCCUUUUACAGUUUAUAAGCAUGAUAAUUGGGUUUUCACACUGAUGUGAGAUGCGUUUCCCUCAAACCUUGUUAUGACAUGGGCACAUUACCCAUCUGAUG